GGGGCUGUAGUUUAUUUGGAUAAAAUCACAGGCUUGCACCUUGUAGAACUGAGUUCGAUUCUCAGUGGCUCCACCA
rnacentral:tRNA from 1 species